UGAGGAAUAUUGCGCAAUGGGGGCAACCCUGACGCAGCAACGCCGCGUGGAGGACGAAGGUUUUCGGAUUGUAAACUCCUUAACUGGGGGAAGAGGGAGGACGGUACCCCAGGACGAAGACACGGCUAACUACGUGCCAGCAGCCGCGGUAACACGUAGGUGUCGAGCGUUAUCCGGAAUUACUGGGCGUAAAGGGUGCGUAGGCGGCUAGACAAGUCUGGCGUGAAAGCUUCUGGCUUAACUGGGAGAGGACGUCAGAAACUGUGUGGCUGGAGUGAAUGAGAGGGAGGCGGAAAUCCCGGUGUAGUGGUGGAAUGCGUAGAUAUCGGGAAGAACACCAGAGGCGAAGGCGGCCUCCUGGCAUUCUACUGACGCUGAGGCACGAAAGCGUGGGUAGCGAACGGGAUUAGAUACCCCCGUAGUCC
rnacentral:rRNA from 1 species